UCGUGUUUUUGCAAGGUUUUUGGGAUGAAAUCGGCUCGGGAAUAGGCACACCAUCUCCGGCGUUCGAUAUCGGAGUCCGAUUGCACCGUUCAACAAAAUAUCUCGAUAUUUCCAAAAUGUCACGAUAUUAUCGAUAUUAUCGAUAAUAUCGCGAUAUUUUGACGAAAACCCCACGGAUACCUAUUUAAAUAUCCAUUCCCCGAAAAAUCGAUAUUAUCGGCGAUAUUUCGCCGAUAAUAUCGAUAUUUAAAUCCAUGCUUACUACUAACAACCUUAUCCUUUUAACCACACAUAUAUGUCCUAGUCAGCACUAAUACAAUGCUCACUUAUCAACCAAUUCAGUUAUCACACAGGAUCCUAUCAACUUCAUUAGAUCAUUGUUCGACUCUUGAUAACAAGAUUAGUCCACCCUUGUACAUAUGUGUGUGUAUGUGUGUGUGAUGGUAUAAAAUAACAAAGGUCCUUCGAGUUAAUGAAUGAAAGAAAGUGAUGAAUGAUGUAUUCUAGUGUGGUUGAGUCCAUACUAAAUGUAUAAAUUCUAACAAACAACCAAUUAAAAUGUGAAAUCUAAAAUGGACAUUUAAUUAAAUAUUUAUUAAUAUUUGCAGUUUGGUUUGGUUUCGGUGCGGUUUUCAAAAGCCAAAACCGAAACCAAACCAUUUUCUAUGUUGCGGUUCGGUUUCAAAACCGAAACCAUUUCAAAACCGCAAAACCAAACCGUUUGGUGCGGUUUAAUCUGGUCCGUGUUCGAUUUCGAUUUUCGUUUCUAAGUGCCCACCCCUACAUGGGAUUAUUUCUUUAACGGUAGGAAACUGACUUCCCUUCCACUUCUCAAAUCACACUAUAAUUUAAAUAAAUAAAUUGUGGGAGAAAUUAUAAACAAAUGUCCAAGAAAAAAGGUGUUUUCUUAAUCAAUUUGUUUUUUGUAUGACAAUAACAUAUUUUUCUUGGAAAUUCUCUCCAACGGUAAUUGGAUGUCGCUUUCUCUUGGAAAUUCGGUCGGUACCAUAUUUAUUUUGUUUUUGUAUGAAACGGUACAAUUAACAAUUCUCCUUUCCGGGUUUGCAAAGUUUUCAACAUUGUAAACGUCUAGCGGAAUCUAAAUGAUAAAAUAUAUUAAACCAGAGGUUAGACAAGAUUUAAGCAUUGCAAAUCACCUAUGUAAAAAAUCGAUUUAGUCGAAAUUAUUGACUGGUUUGGUUGCUAAAUGACACAAACGAUGGUCUGCCAUAUCAUUAAUGUAAAAAAUAAGCUGCAGAAACACCAACCCAGAACCACACAAUGAUUGUGAAGAAGAACGAACCAGAAAAUUGAAAAAAGAAGUUGAUGUAAUCUUUCAAUUGAUGGAUAAGCUAACAUAAUUAUAACUUAAAAAUUAAAAUGAAAAUCAAAUCAUAACUUAAUAAGCCAACAACAAAAUUAGCAACCAUAAUCCAAAUGGUUAAUAAUUCACUAACUCAAAAUGUAACUCAUAUAAUUGUCCAAAGCCAAUGUAGCAACCAAUGCAAAAGCAAAUAUAAAAAACUCAAAAGUCAAAAGUCUGAUUCUGAUUAUAGGAUCCCCUCAUUGCAAUCUGCGAGACGUCGUGCAAGAGUCGGAAAAAAAAAAAAACUGCUGAGUGAGUGGGUUUUUAUUUUUCAAGCCCUAAAAUUGAAGAGUCGUGCAUGUAAAAAAAUACUUAAAAAGUAUAUUGGUUUGGUAUGAUAUAUCGAAUGAUUCCAAUAUAAAAAACCAUACCAUUAAUAAUUAAUUUGAUAAAAUACUAAUAGAUUAUGAAAUCAUACCAAAACUCGACCAUACCAAUAUAAUCCCGUCGAUACGAUUCAGUAGUACAUCGGUAUAUGACAAUAUUUUCCAGUUCCCACCCCUAUCUUAGCUAUCUAUGUACCUCUAUUAU
rnacentral:lncRNA from 1 species